CUUCCUCAGUUUCCACUCCAAGGAUGUUUCACAGAGCUCAGAAAUAGUGUGGAGAGUGACCGGGGCAAGGCCAUAGCUCCCCAUCCCCCGGUACUGCUUUGGUCAUGGCCAUUGACAUCUGGCUCCCAUGGCCUUAUCCGACCCAUCCUCAUGAAGAGGAACUACCUUUCUCUAAUGUCCUCGAAGAGACAAGACCCAAGAUACAGAAGACAAAAAAUCCCUGGAGGCAGCCAAACAUCUGGACCAGAUGAUGAGUGCACAGGUGAGGGUGCUGGGAUGGCUUCUCCAGCAGUGGGGAUGGAAGAUGAUUUGGAGCCCUUGGGAAUUUCUGCAGGUGUGUCUGCAGGGAGGACUUUUCAAGCCCCAGGGCUGGAUGCUGCACACAAUCCCAGCUCCCAUGGCAGGGG